rnacentral:rRNA from 1 species
UACGUAGGGGGCAAGCGUUGUCCGGAAUCAUUGGGCGUAAAGAGCGUGUAGGCGGUUCGGUAAGUCGGCUGUGAAAGUCCAGGGCUCAACCCUGGGAUGCCGGUCGAUACUGCCGGACUAGAGUUCGGAAGAGGCGAGUGGAAUUCCCGGUGUAGCGGUGAAAUGCGCAGAUAUCGGGAGGAACACCUAUGGCGAAGGCAGCUCGCUGGGACGUUACUGACGCUGAGACACGAAAGCGUGGGUAGCAAACAGG